rnacentral:misc_RNA from 1 species
UUCCAAAUUGCUCUCGAAAUCAUGUGAUUACCUAUAGAAAUCUUUACUCUGAUGAUCGGUUCUCAAAUCCAGUCCCAAAUCAAAAAAUGAAAUUUUCUCAGCCGUUUUCAGAUAUAAACAUGAUCCAUACCCAUUUUCAGUCCCACUUCUAAACAUUGUCAUUGACUUGCAAAUCCAGUUUCAGAUACUCUGUCAUUUCGUGUAAACUUCGCAGCAGUGCCGUAGUCAACAAUUGGUAAAACUUGCUCUAAAUUUCAGGUCCAAUGACAUAUCUUUGGUACAUCUCAUUUCUUAUUAAACCAUACCAGAAUCAAAGAUCAAAAUCCAUACAUGCUUUAAGACCGAAACGGUUAUAAAAAUAUUUCUCCUGGGGGAGCAUAUUCCCAGAUAGUUUAAAACGGAUAAUAAUCUUCCUACUCUGCCCCCAACUCGGGAUAUUUUCCAUCUCUCACUUUACAUCAUAGUCAAUGGGCUCGACCGGAACCCAAAGCUAUUGUUUGUUAUAACUUUUAACCGUUCAGAUGAACACUCUUACGCAAGAUGAUUUCUUCUUUGUAUUAGUGGCGCCAGUGUUGAUUGCUAGACAACUCAAGUGCUGUUUACUUGUCACCUGAUAAUCUGCAAUGCAAAUUUUCCGUAACUGUUCUGCACAAAACAAAAAACUAGUCGCAGUUAAAAGCAUAUGAAAUUACCCAGCACCAACGACUUUAUCAACUGUAUUUCAUGAACUGCCUUAAACCCAUUAUUUGUUUUCCAUGCGGACAUAAUACGAGCUGAUGAAAUGCUGCUGUCGAACAUACGGCUAAUUUGGAUGGUCUGGCCUCUUCUUCAUUGGGCGAGUUUAACCUUAUCAGAGUCGUACCUUGAACACCGAAGGCUCGCUCUUAAUGAAAGGACUCCACAGGGUCAGGAAUUUCCAUGGCAUUCAAUACGACUUCCACGCACUCUUUUGCCCACCAGCUAUAAAAUCACAUUACAAACUGAUUUGAAAUCAUUCAAUGUUAAAGGGAAUGUUACAAUACGAGUUAAUUGUGAAAAGCCAACAACACAUAUUAUUCUUCAUUUAAAAGACAUGAACGUAUCAGGGACAACCGUGCUUGAAACUACACAAGAGAGAGAAUUCUUUCCCCUUUUAUCAGCUGGAAGUGUUAAAGAACUGGAGCAAUCGAGGGUAAAAAGCGGAAGAAGAGGCAAGGAUCGCGAUAUAAGAGUCACGGAGACAAUGCAAAAUAGAACUCUUGAAAUGUUUCUCAUUGAAGUAAGUGAAGAGCUCACGCCACAUCAAAACUACGCAAUUUACAUCGAAUUUGAGUAUCCACUGACAGACAAACUUGUCGGAUUUUACAAAAGUUCUUACAUGACAAAAAGUGGUGAGAAAAGUUAUCUGGCAGCUACACUAUUUGAGGCGACUUUCGCUCGAGCGGCGUUUCCAUGCUUCGAUGAACCGGAAAUGAAGGCAAAGUUUUCUGUUACCAUUAUCAGGGAAGGAAAAUAUUCUUCUCUCUCAAAUAUGCCCCUCAUGCAAACGGUGAAGGUUGGAGAUGAUUUAUUCGCAGACCAUUUCCAAGAAUCAGUUAAAAUGAGCACAUACCUGGUGGCAUUUCUUGUGAGCGACUUCGCCCACAUAGAGACGACAACGAGCGGUGGUAUUAAGGUUCGUAUUUGGACCCCACCAUCGCAACUGGCUCAGGCUUCAUAUGCACUGGAUAUUGCUUCAAAUACUCUCUCAAAUUAUGAAAAAUUCUUCCAGAUAAAAUUUCCUCUUCCCAAGCAAGAUCUUGUUGCUAUUCCUGACUUUUCGACCGGUGCUGAGGAAAACUGGGGGCUAAUCGGGUUUACCAGCUCAAUGCUCCUCUUUGAUCCUAAAAAGACAUCAGAUGAAUUACGACAAAGUAUUUGCGAGACUGUAACACAUGAGUUGGCUCAUCAGUGGUUUGGGAAUCUCGUAACUAUGAAAUGGUGGAACGAUCUUUGGUUGAAUGAAGGUUUUGCUACAUUCAUGGAAAACAUAGGAGCAAGCUUUGUUGAACCUAACUGGAGUAUGAUGGACCAAUUUGUCGUGAAGAAACUUCAAGUGGCUUUCAGUGAAGAUCAGUCGAGUUACUCUCAUCCAAUCUCAGUUGAUGUAAAAGAUCCCAAGGACAUUGACAGCAUGUUUGACUCUAUAUCUUACGAAAAGGGAGCAUCUGUAAUACGGAUGUUAAAGAAUACUAUUGGCCAUGAUCACUUCACUGCUGGUCUGCGGUCAUACCUCCAAAGAUAUUCCUCUAGCAACGCAGAUACAGACGAACUUUGGUUAGCUUUGUCAGAAAAAAGUGGCAUUAACGUAAAAGAAGUUAUGGACACCUGGACACUUCAAAUGGGUUUACCAGUUGUUACUAUCAGGCGCCUGAACCAACACAAGGCGACCGCUGACCAAAAAGUAUUCCUUAUCGAUUCUGGUGCCAGACCAGAAAAGAGUUCUCCAUUUAAUUAUACAUGGAACAUUCCGCUGACUUAUGAAACUGAGAAGGACAACACAACCAAACAUGUUUGGCUGAAGAGGGGAAGUGCUUCGCUUGAUUGGUCAAAGACAUCUGGGUGGAUUAAAGCUAAUGUUGAUCAGAUUGGUUAUUACAGAGUUAAUUACGACAUCGACAACUGGAAAGCUCUUAACAACCAACUUAACACAGACCAUACCGUAAUGAGUCCAGCCGACCGCUCUGGACUGAUUGAUGAUGCAUUUCAUCUGGCGAGGAGUGACGAGCUCGGAUAUGAACUAGCCUUAGAAAUGAUUGAAUACAUAAGGAAUGAGGCAGAGUUUUCACCGUUAAUAACUUUCUUACGAAACAUGGAGUACCUUGGCGACCAGUUUACUCUACGCAAGUCUUAUGAUGUCUUUAAGAGAUACAUGCUUCAACAACUUCGACCAUCAAUAAGUAGACUGGGAUGGAAUGACAAAGGAACGCAUUUACAAAAAAUGCUGCGUCCAAAGAUUCUCUUUAAGGCUUGUGACUAUUCAGAUCAGGACACCAUCUUGAAGAUCAAGAACAUGUUUAAACUUGCGAUGGAAGAGAACAAAAUGAUCCCAUCAAACCUUCGUUCUUUAGUGUAUUCAGUUGGUGUCAAAGAAGGUGGCGCCGAAGAAUGGAACCAGGCUUUCAAAAAGUACUCAACUACUCACGUCGCCUCCGAAAAAGAUAUUCUUUUGGAUGCACUCACUUACACAAGAAAUACUCAAAUGAUACAAAAGUGCUUAAAUUAUUCGUUGGAUAAGAAAAAAAUUUCCCCUCAAGACACACUUUCAGUAAUCAGCGGGGUGGCGUCUAACCCCGAAUCAUGGAAAAUGGCUUGGGAUUUUUUUCGUGAACACUGGCACAUUCUGUACGAAAGGACCUAAAUGGCGCUCCAACUAAAGCAGUCUUCUCGACAAGUCUUCUUUCAUUAUUUUCUGCCGAUGAAAAGCGUUUCAGACAAAUAUUUCAAAAGGAAUUCAUCUUCCUGUUCUCCUUUUUUUUUGCGUCAUCACAAACCAUAUUUUGUUCUGGCUAAGCCACCUGAAAGGAAAGUAAUUUGAAAAGCAAAUUUGACACUUUUUUUUGGCCCAAAACACUUUGAAUCACAGAAUUCGAUUAAAUUGUAAGGCAACUUCGACUAAAAACCCUUGCUCUGUGCCAACAUGGGAUAUGAUUCUCUUCGACUAUUAUUUUUAUGUGCACGAGUUUCAUAUGGAAAGAAAAUGAGUUGCAUUUUGAAGCUUGGAAAGAAAAUGAAACAUAAAUUACAAUAACGGAUAAAGUAAAUUUCCUCGGAACAUGCAUACAAUCGCAUGCAGCUUUAAUUUCCAACUGAGAUAAAAAACAGCGUCCGACAUCAAAAAAGUAUCCUUUUAAACAGGACAAUAGCGUUUGAAAGCGGUAUGAAGCGUCAUUUAAAACGUUCUUCGAAAAGUAAAUUGUAACAUCUUUCUGAAUGAUGAUGAAAACUGACCUGUCAAUUUAAAAUUAACUAAAAUGUUUUACCUUAGGUAUAGUCGUGGAUCCGAUGAAUGGCCAGUUUUGAUUGAAUCUUUGAUGUUUAAAUGCAAUACUCCCGCACAACUGAGCCAGGUUAAGAAAUUCUUCAAGGAUUAUAAGCCCACAGACGCAGCCUAUCGCCAGGUGAAAAUGGGAAUAGA